ACGCUAGCUACAGGCUUAACACAUGCAAGUCGAGGGGCAGCAUGGUCUUAGCUUGCUAAGGCCGAUGGCGACCGGCGCACGGGUGAGUAACACGUAUCCAACCUGCCGUCUACUCUUGGACAGCCUUCUGAAAGGAAGAUUAAUACAAGAUGGCAUCAUGAGUCCGCAUGUUCACAUGAUUAAAGGUAUUCCGGUAGACGAUGGGGAUGCGUUCCAUUAGAUAGUAGGCGGGGUAACGGCCCACCUAGUCUUCGAUGGAUAGGGGUUCUGAGAGGAAGGUCCCCCACAUUGGAACUGAGACACGGUCCAAACUCCUACGGGAGGCAGCAGUGAGGAAUAUUGGUCAAUGGGCGAGAGCCUGAACCAGCCAAGUAGCGUGAAGGAUGACUGCCCUAUGGGUUGUAAACUUCUUUUAUAAAGGAAUAAAGUCGGGUAUGGAUACCCGUUUGCAUGUACUUUAUGAAUAAGGAUCGGCUAACUCCGUGCCAGCAGCCGCGGUAAUACGGAGGAUCCGAGCGUUAUCCGGAUUUAUUGGGUUUAAAGGGAGCGUAGAUGGAUGUUUAAGUCAGUUGUGAAAGUUUGCGGCUCAACCGUAAAAUUGCAGUUGAUACUGGAUAUCUUGAGUGCAGUUGAGGCAGGCGGAAUUCGUGGUGUAGCGGUGAAAUGCUUAGAUAUCACGAAGAACUCCGAUUGCGAAGGCAGCCUGCUAAGCUGCAACUGA
rnacentral:rRNA from 1 species